rnacentral:lncRNA from 1 species
AUAAUUACUUUAAUUAUUUUAUAAGAUAAUUUGCCAAUCGAAUUGACCAAAUUACUCCUGAAUGAUUCUUAAUCAUUCAUCAGCCUUCUUGAUCAAUCAGGAAUCUUCUAUGCGUGUGACCUCAUAGGUUCGAACCUAAGCCGGUAGUAUAGGAACGACUUCCUACACUAAUCGAUGUGACCAUCUAACAAUGGUACCCGACGUCCGAAUAGGCCGAAUAUAUGCGAAGCAAAUAUUCUGGAACCCUGAACUAUGGUUACUGUAUAAUUCAAUCCCUUUGACUCUUAAUGCCAGGAUGACUUAGAGCUCACUGUCAACCCUAUAAUUAGUACAUCCAUUAUGCGAUUAACUUUAGAUAUCCCGUGACUCCUCACUGGGAUUACCCUGGCCAAGGUUUUGCUAAAUUAAUCACAAGACAUUAUUCCUGUUUCCAGGAGGGGUCAAUUCCAUCUUGACUCACAACUGACUAC